CGGAACGUGCCCAGUAGUGGGGGAUAAGCUCCGCGAAAGCCGGAUUAAUACCGCAUACGACCUGAGGGUGAAAGCGGGGGAUCUUCGGACCUCGCGCUAUUGGAGCCGCCGAUGGCAGAUUAGCUAGUUGGUGGGGUAAAGGCCUACCAAGGCGACGAUCUGUAGCUGGUCUGAGAGGACGACCAGCCACACUGGGACUGAGACACGGCCCAGACCCUACGGGAGGCAGCAGCGGGGAAUUUUGGACAAUGGGCGAAAGCCUGAUCCAGCAAUGCCGCGUGUGUGAUGAAGGCUUCGGGUUGUAAAGCACUUUUGGCGGGAACGAAAAGGACUGUGCCAAUACCACGGUUCGAUGACCGACCCGCAGAAU
rnacentral:rRNA from 1 species